CAGAAUGUUAUUAAACAUGUCAUAGGACCAUAAAAUAGGGACGUCAUUUUAACCAUCUGUGCUAUUUUUCUGGGAAAGAAAAAGAAAAAAGAAAAGAAAAUAAACACAGCAUGAAUUCAACUGAGGAAUGCGUGAGCAAGGUUGCAGUGCUGAGAGUAUCCUCCUUCUCCACAAUGCAGAAUGCAAUCUCAACCUUUGGAGACUCUUUCAACCUCAUUUCCAAACCCACCACUCCUACACAUUGCAACAAGCUUAAACCCUAGCUUUUGCUCAAAAAGGGUCAACAACUUGAUCCUGUUGUGUCAGCGGCACCCACCACCAGCUUCAACCUUUCUGGGUUUUGAGCUGAUUUCGGAAUCUGGAUAUCAGAGGAAUGCAGGUGUUCGCCAAAAGUUUCAGUGAUCAAGCUUUCUAUUGUGUCUGAAGCUUCCAGAGUGGUGUUUCUGUGAGUUUUUCUGGGUAGCUGAUGGAUAGUUAGAAGG